AAGGCUAUACAUUCAAGGAUCAUUUCAAUAGUUCAUAACUGAGAAAUGCGUUGCGAAAGCGUUUGGUCUCGCUACUCAUGAAGAUUAAAUAAUACAUCCCCUUCUGAGCGCGAAAUGGAGAGAGGAUGUUGAUACAUAUCAACAGUUCUCUGUCAUUGAUGAUAGUUUCGCUACUGAAAAUAAUGCGCAGGUUGAGGUACGCGUUCUGAGUCAU